rnacentral:rRNA from 1 species
AUACGGAAGGUUCGGGCGUUAUCCGGAUUUAUUGGGUUUAAAGGGAGCGCAGGCGGCCUUUUAAGCGUGACGUGAAAUGUAGGCGCUCAACGUCUGAAUUGCGUCGCGAACUGUUAGGCUUGAGUAGACGGAAUGUCGGCGGAAUUCGUGGUGUAGCGGUGAAAUGCUUAGAUAUCACGAAGAACUCCGAUUGCGAAGGCAGCUGACAGCAGUUUACUGACGCUCAUGCUCGAAAGUGCGGGUAUCGAACAGGAUGAGAUACCCUGGUAGUCCGCACGGUAAACGAUGGAUGCCCGCUGUUUGCUUUUGAAGUAAGCGGCCAAGCGAAAGCAUUAAGCAUCCCACCUGGGGAGUACGCCGGCAACGGUGAAACUCA